rnacentral:rRNA from 1 species
UACGGAGGAUGCAAGCGUUAUCCGGAAUGAUUGGGCGUAAAGCGUCCGCAGGUGGCUGUGUAAGUCUGCUGUUAAAGAAUGAGGCUCAACCUCAUCAAAGCAGUGGAAACUACACGGCUAGAGUGCGUUCGGGGCAGAGGGAAUUCCUGGUGUAGCGGUGAAAUGCGUAGAGAUCAGGAAGAACACCGGUGGCGAAGGCGCUCUGCUAGGCCGCAACUGACACUGAGGGACGAAAGCUAGGGGAGCGAAUGGG